CAUGUACUAAUCAGUUUAUGUUUAUAGUUUCUUAUUCUAUUGAGACAAGUACCAUGACUACUCCAUUGACUACUGUAUUAGUGAAUAAUGGAGGAAAUAUUGGAGUGAUAGUUGGACUAAGUGUAGUUUUUCCGGUAUUAUUAGUACUGGCUAUAACUAUAAUUAUUAUACUGGUACUGGUUAUGUACAUAAAAAGAACUAAUAUUAAUCAAAAAAGAAAAUCAGAUAAUGACAUUGUAAUGGAAUGCAGUCCAGCUUAUGCUACAACUGAAUUUAAAACAAAUACUGCUGAUGAUAUACUAAUGAAGGAUAGUCCAGCAUAC